GGUUCAUACAUCUCUUCCCAUAAAGAGAGUUUUUUUGUUGUUGUUUGUUGGUUUGUUUGUUUUUGAGAUAGAGUCUUGCUCCGUUGCCCAGGCUGAAGUGCAGUGGCAUGAUCGGCUGACUGUAAGCUCCGCCUCCUGGGUUCAUGCCAUUCUCCUGCCUCAGCCUCCCGAGUAGCUGGGACUACAGGCACCCGCUACCACGCCUGGCUAAUUUUUUGUAUUUUUAGUAGAGAUGGGGUUUCUUUAACAUUCAAUGGUUAGGGCAAUUCCCAAUUCAGUCUGUGAUUCUUUCGCCUGUGCAUGAUUG
rnacentral:lncRNA from 1 species